rnacentral:misc_RNA from 1 species
AACGGUCUAUACCUGCGGUACCUGCGGAGGGAUCAUUAACGCGCCGUGGAGGUUGCCUUUAAACAGGUCUGACCUUCCACCUGGCCACCCUUGUUUAUCUUUAACCUGUUGCUUUGGUGGGCCCGCUGCAAGGCCGCUGGAGAAUUUAAAAGUUUUCUGGCCCGUGCCCACCAAAGUCCUAGCGAACUCUUUGUUAAUUUUCUGCUGUCUGAGCAUUAAAAGAAACAAUUUUUAAAACUU